rnacentral:rRNA from 1 species
CCUGGCUCAGGACGAACGCUGGCGGCGCGCCUAACACAUGCAAGUCGAACGAGCGAGAGAGAGCUUGCUUUCUCGAGCGAGUGGCGAACGGGUGAGUAACGCGUGAGGAACCUGCCUCAAAGAGGGGGACAACAGUUGGAAACGACUGCUAAUACCGCAUAAGCCCACGGCUCGGCAUCGAGCAGAGGGAAAAGGAGCAAUCCGCUUUGAGAUGGCCUCGCGUCCGAUUAGCUAGUUGGUGAGGUAAUGGCCCACCAAGGCGACGAUCGGUAGCCGGACUGAGAGGUUGAACGGCCACAUUGGGACUGAGACACGGCCCAGACUCCUACGGGAGGCAGCAGUGGGGAAUAUUGCACAAUGGGGGAAACCCUGAUGCAGCGACGCCGCGUGGAGGAAGAAGGUCUUCGGAUUGUAAACUCCUGUUGUUGAGAAGAUAAUGACGGUACUCAACAAGGAAGUGACGGCUAACUACGUGCCAGCAGCCGCGGUAAAACGUAGGUCACAAGCGUUGUCCGGAAUUACUGGGUGUAAAGGGAGCGCAGGCGGGAAGACAAGUUGGAAGUGAAAUCCAUGGGCUCAACCCAUGAACUGCUUUCAAAACUGUUUUUCUUGAGUAGUGCAGAGGUAGGCGGAAUUCCCGGUGUAGCGGUGGAAUGCGUAGAUAUCGGGAGGAACACCAGUGGCGAAGGCGGCCUACUGGGCACCAACUGACGCUGAGGCUCGAAAGUGUGGGUAGCAAACAGGAUUAGAUACCCUGGUAGUCCACACUGUAAACGAUGAUUACUAGGUGUGGGAGGAUUGACCCCUCAGUGCCGCAGUUAACACAAUAAGUAAUCCACCUGGGAGUACGACCGCAAGGUGAAACUCAAAGGAAUUGACGGGGGCCCGCACAAGCAGUGGAGUAUGUGGUUUAAUUCGACGCAACGCGAAGAACCUUACCAAGUCUUGACAUCCUGCGACGGUGCUGGAAACAGUACUUUCCUUCGGGACGCAGAGACAGGUGGUGCAUGGUUGUCGUCAGCUCGUGUCGUGAGAUGUUGGGUUAAGUCCCGCAACGAGCGCAACCCUUAUGGUCAGUUACUACGCAAGAGGACUCUGGCCAGACUGCCGUUGACAAAACGGAGGAAGGUGGGGAUGACGUCAAAUCAUCAUGCCCUUUAUGACUUGGGCUACACACGUACUACAAUGGCGUUAAACAAAGAGAAGCAAGACCGCGAGGUGGAGCAAAACUCAGAAACAACGUCCCAGUUCGGACUGCAGGCUGCAACUCGCCUGCACGAAGUCGGAAUUGCUAGUAAUCGCAGAUCAGCAUGCUGCGGUGAAUACGUUCCCGGGCCUUGCACACACCGCCCG